GCAGAAACUAGCCGAAAAAUUCGCAAGAUUCAUCGUCAGCACUGGCACUUAAGGAGAUAAAAGAUCCCCAUUAAAGAUCUCAUCAACAAUGUCCACUCCUCCUCUUCCUCUUUCUCUCACCAACUGUAGCCUUAUUUUUUCUUGAACUUAUAGUUUUUAUGGCCUCAAGGAGCGAUUAAUUGAAAACAGAGUCCUACAUCUUGCGAAAAUCAUGCAACAAACAAAGCACAGAACAGAGUUUGAGGAAAUAUGAAUUUGGGGAUCAUUGGAAUCUUGGAAUCGAGGACCGUGCGAAGCCUCAGGUGUACAAUGAAGAGCACGAGAACAAGGAUCUUCAACAACGUGUCACCGCAGCAAGAAACAAAAAUUGAAGAACUGGCUGUCAAAAAAAUGGAACGGCGAUGGAAUCUGCUUCACGUCACGUGCCUAAAAGCAGGAAAAGAUUCUUUCUUGCUUCUUCUUCGUCCAUAUGCACACUGUUUCUGUUGUUAUUUAUCUAUUCUAAAGCGGGGUUAACACUGUUGGGCUUCAGUUUUCAACAUUAGAGUUCUUUUCUUUUGCUGAUUGCUCCAAGUAUUAAUUUUUUUGGUCGCUUUUGUCUUGCUGUUUAGGUUUCACACAUAUACAAACGAGUUGUAGCUUAAAGUGUUGUCGUAAAUGGUUCUGUAAUUGGCGGGUAAAAAUAGGAAAAAUUGGAAGAGCUUGAGACAAUAGAUAAUGUUUCAGUCAUAUGCAUAGAGUGACGAUGAAUUCGAUAUGUUUUACUUCCAAAAGAAGUACAUUGAAGAUGGAGCAUGAAAAAAGUGAUUUUGAUGUCAACGAUUAUGGUGAGGAGGAUAAGGAGAAACAAGGAGAAGAGGGAAAAAAUCGAGAUGAGGGAACAGUUGAGGAAGACCAAAGUGGAUGGAAUAAUGAUGAGAUGGAAUAACUUGAGAAAGUGUAUAAGGAUCUUCAAAUUAGUUUUGAAUUUUUAAGUGAGGAGUUACUGAACUUUUUUAUACAAUUUUUCAGUGAUAGGUGGUAGUAGUAUGCAGUGAGAGUGGUUCCCACUUUUCGGCAACCAGUUGGGUUGAGAUUGUAGCUGAAGAUUUGAAGUUUAUCAUGAAAGUCAGACUAGAUUGGAAAGGAGAUUUUGGAAGUCCAGAGAAGCAGGGGUGAGCUAGAGAUGGAGGAAACAUGAUGUGGAAGAACAAGGAUCUUCAAGAACGUGCCAUCGCAUCAACAAACAGAGAUUGAAGAAGUGGCUUCCAGAAUAGUGGAACGGCAAUAAAAUCAUGUCACACGCCUGAAAGCAGGAAAAGAUUCCUUUUUUUUUUCUUCUUCCUCCAAAUGCAUACUGUUAGUUAUUUAUUUUAAAGUGGGGCCAACACU